UGAAAGGAAGAUUAAUUCAAGAUGGCAUCAUGAGUCCGCAUGUUCACAUGAUUAAAGGUAUUCCGGUAGACGAUGGGGAUGCGUUCCAUUAGAUAGUAGGCGGGGUAACGGCCCACCUAGUCUUCGAUGGAUAGGGGUUCUGAGAGGAAGGUCCCCCACAUUGGAACUGAGACACGGUCCAAACUCCUACGGGAGGCAGCAGUGAGGAAUAUUGGUCAAUGGGCGAGAGCCUGAACCAGCCAAGUAGCGUGAAGGAUGACUGCCCUAUGGGUUGUAAACUUCUUUUAUAAAGGAAUAAAGUCGGGUAUGGAUACCCGUUUGCAUGUACUUUAUGAAUAAGGAUCGGCUAACUCCGUGCCAGCAGCCGCGGUAAUACGGAGGAUCCGAGCGUUAUCCGGAUUUAUUGGGUUUAAAGGGAGCGUAGAUGGAUGUUUAAGUCAGUUGUGAAAGUUUGCGGCUCAACCGUAAAAUUGCAGUUGAUACUGGAUAUCUUGAGUGCAGUUGAGGCAGGCGGAAUUCGUGGUGUAGCGGUGAAAUGCUUAGAUAUCACGAAGAACUCCGAUUGCGAAGGCAGCCUGCUAAGCUGCAACUGACAUUGAGGCUCGAAAGUGUGGGUAUCAAACAGGAUUAGAUACCCUGGUAGUCCACACGGUA
rnacentral:rRNA from 1 species